rnacentral:rRNA from 1 species
UACAGAGGGUGCAAGCGUUGUCCGGAAUCACUGGGCUUAAAGGGCGCGUAGGCGGGCUCCCAAGUCUGGGGUGAAAUCUUUCGGCUUAACCGGAAAAGUGCCUCGGAUACUGGGAGCCUUGAGGGAGGCAGGGGCGGAUGGAACUUCCGGUGGAGCGGUGAAAUGCGUUGAUAUCGGAAGGAACGCCGGUGGCGAAAGCGAUCCGCUGGACCUCUUCUGACGCUGAGGCGCGAAAGCCAGGGGAGCAAACGGG